AGAUUGAACGCUGGCGGCAUGCUUUACACAUGCAAGUCGAACGGCAGCGCGGGGCAACCUGGCGGCGAGUGGCGAACGGGUGAGUAAUAUAUCGGAACGUACCCAAGAGUGGGGGAUAACGUAGCGAAAGUUACGCUAAUACCGCAUACGAUCUAAGGAUGAAAGCAGGGGACCGCAAGGCCUUGUGCUCCUGGAGCGGCCGAUAUCUGAUUACGCUAGUUGGUAAGGGUAAAGCCUACCAAGGCUACGGAUCAGUAGCUGGUCUGAGAGGACGACCAGCCACACUGGAACUGAGACACGUCCAGACUCCUACGGGAGGCAGCAGGUGGGAAUUUUGGACAAGUGGGCGACAAGCCUAGAUCCGAGCAAUGCCGCGGUGAGGUA
rnacentral:rRNA from 1 species